rnacentral:rRNA from 1 species
UUAAAUUGAAGAGUUUGAUCAUGGCUCAGAUUGAACGCUGGCGGCAGGCCUAACACAUGCAAGUCGAACGGUAACAGGAAGCAGCUUGCUGCUUUGCUGACGAGUGGCGGACGGGUGAGUAAUGUCUGGGAAACUGCCUGAUGGAGGGGGAUAACUACUGGAAAACGUGGCUAAUACCGCAUAACGUCGCAAGACCAAAGAGGGGGACCUUCGGGCCUCUUGCCAUCAGAUGUGCCCAGAUGGGAUUAGCUUGUUGGUGAGGUAACGGCUCACCAAGGCGACGAUCCCUAGCUGGUCUGAGAGGAUGACCAGCCACACUGGAACUGAGACACGGUCCAGACUCCUACGGGAGGCAGCAGUGGGGAAUAUUGCACAAUGGGCGCAAGCCUGAUGCAGCCAUGCCGCGUGUAUGAAGAAGGCCUUCGGGUUGUAAAGUACUUUCAGCGGGGAGGAAGGUGUUGUGGUUAAUAACCACAGCAAUUGACGUUACCCGCAGAAGAAGCACCGGCUAACUCCGUGCCAGCAGCCGCGGUAAUACGGAGGGUGCAAGCGUUAAUCGGAAUUACUGGGCGUAAAGCGCACGCAGGCGGUCUGUCAAGUCGGAUGUGAAAUCCCCGGGCUCAACCUGGGAACUGCAUUCGAAACUGGCAGGCUUGAGUCUUGUAGAGGGGGGUAGAAGUUCCAGGUGUAGCGGUGAAAUGCGUAGAGAUCUGGAGGAAUACCGGUGGCGAAGGCGGCCCCCUGGACAAAGACUGACGCUCAGGUGCGAAAGCGUGGGGAGCAAACAGGAUUAGAUACCCUGGUAGUCCACGCCGUAAACGAUGUCUACUUGGAGGUUGUGCCCUUGAGGCGUGGCUUCCGGAGCUAACGCGUUAAGUAGACCGCCUGGGGAGUACGGCCGCAAGGUUAAAACUCAAAUGAAUUGACGGGGGCCCGCACAAGCGGUGGAGCAUGUGGUUUAAUUCGAUGCAACGCGAAGAACCUUACCUGGUCUUGACAUCCACAGAACUUUCCAGAGAUGGACUGGUGCCUUCGGGAACUGUGAGACAGGUGCUGCAUGGCUGUCGUCAGCUCGUGUUGUGAAAUGUUGGGUUAAGUCCCGCAACGAGCGCAACCCUUAUCCUUUGUUGCCAGCGGUCCGGCCGGGAACUCAAAGGAGACUGCCAGUGAUAAACUGGAGGAAGGUGGGGAUGACGUCAAGUCAUCAUGGCCCUUACGACCAGGGCUACACACGUGCUACAAUGGCGCAUACAAAGAGAAGCGACCUCGCGAGAGCAAGCGGACCUCAUAAAGUGCGUCGUAGUCCGGAUUGGAGUCUGCAACUCGACUCCAUGAAGUCGGAAUCGCUAGUAAUCGUGGAUCAGAAUGCCACGGUGAAUACGUUCCCGGGCCUUGUACACACCGCCCGUCACACCAUGGGAGUGGGUUGCAAAAGAAGUAGGUAGCUUAACCUUCGGGAGGGCGCUUACCACUUUGUGAUUCAUGACUGGGGUGAAGUCGUAACAAGGUAACCGUAGGGGAACCUGCGGUUGGAUCACCUCCUUACCUUAAAGAAGC